UAGUAUGUUUCCGAUGAAAAC
rnacentral:piRNA from 1 species